GUCAACGACCAUACCAUGUUGAAAACACCGGUUCUCGUCCGAUGACCGAAGUUAAGCAACAUCGGGCGCGAUUAGUACUUGGAUAGGUGACCGCUUGGGAACGUCGCGUGUCGUUGGCU